rnacentral:lncRNA from 1 species
UAAUUAUUUGUCUCUCAUAUCUCGAAGCAUACCAUCAUAUUUGCACGAAUCCCAAAGCUCCAUCCACUCCUCACAUCUCGUUUAAUUAAAAUCCCACACUCCAACCAUGUUCCCAGCCAAACCACAUUAAAAUCUUCGGAACAACAUCUUCCCAGCUCCCCUGCAUUCACGGCAUCCAAGUUUCAUCCGAUCCCUCUCCACCACAGUUUCUCUUCAGGCUUGAUCCCAUGAAAUCCAGAGCCCGUCCCAGCCUCCCUCCGGAUCAUGUUCGUUACCAAACUUCAUCCCAACUUCAUCUUCAUCCUCCCGUGAUCCACGAACCAAAUUCAACACCCCAAACUUCCCAGCCGUUCCGCUUCCCCUGUUCCAUCAUUAUCCCAUCUCCCCUUCCGGAUUCCUUCCAUCCGCGUGUCUUCCCUCUUCCGAACCAAGCCAUCAGCUUCAUCCCGAGUUUCAUGGAUUAACAACUUCGAACUCCAUCUGUUUCCUAAUGGAUUAUCACCCACUCCACGCAUACGGCUCUCUCUGAAUCCCCUGUUUCAGCCGUGAAGAACAAAAUGCCCAGCAACUUAGAUUCAUUCACAUCCCCAACGUCCGAAUC